AACGAACGCUGGCGGCAUGCCUAACACAUGCAAGUCGAACGAGACCUUCGGGUCUAGUGGCGCACGGGUGCGUAACGCGGGGGAUCCUGCCCUUAGGUUCGGCAUAACUCGCCGAAAGGGGUGCUAAUACCGGAUAUUGUCUUCGGACCAAAGAUUUAUCGCAUUUGGAGGGGCCCGCGUUGGAUCAGCUUGUUGGUAGGGUAAAAGCCUACCAAGGCGACGAUCCAUAGCUGGUCUGAGAGGAUGAUCAGCCACACUGGGACUGAGACACGGUCCAGACUACUACAGAAGGCAGCAGUGGGGAAUAUAGGAAAAAGGGCGAUGGGAUGAUGCAGCGAUGCCUCGUGAGUGAUGAAGGCCUUAGGGUUGUGAAGCUCUUUUACACGGGAUGAUAAUGACGGUACCGGGAGAAUAAGCUCCGGCUAACUCCGUG
rnacentral:rRNA from 1 species